GCCCUUUGUUCUCCUUAAUGAUCAAGAGCUGUUAAUACCAUGCUGUGUUUCUAAUGUAUUUUGUUGGUCAGUACUCUCUGCCCUCUUUGCUCCAGCAAAAACAGGAAUGGAAGCAGUGACAGCAACUCCCACUCAUCUGAUGAGGCUGGAAAAGCGAGAAGAUAUCUGGGAGGAAGAGCCAUUUUCUUUCAAUCAAUUAUUAACUGUCGCUUUGUAUGGACUUAUAUCUACCCCCCAGAGUAUGUCCAGUGGAGUUGCAGAAGCAGCUGCUGUGAAGAGAAACUCUUGUAAGAAAAUAUCUCUAGUUCUGAAUUUUCUCUAGACUGCAUGAAAAGAAAUUAAAUAAUCAAAAUAAUGUUUUAGUGAAUAUGAGGCUGG
rnacentral:lncRNA from 1 species